rnacentral:rRNA from 1 species
AUGAGUCUGCCAAGGCAGCUGCUGCUGCUGAUGCCCGAUACGCGAAGCGAGCUGCUCUCAUUUAUAACCGAGGCUCAAACUAGUGGUACCGUGUUGCGUGUCGACGACAUGACACAAAGUAUUUCGCUCAUAUGGAACAGAAACAGAUCCGGGGCUCAAACUGUGUCAAGCGAGAGAUCGGAUUAUGAGGAUGAGAGGAGCUGCUUCCGUUCAAAGAUUGACCAGUUGCUCAAGGAAUACACGACCCAACAGUUUUUGGGAUCAAAGUAUAAACUCGAUACUAUCUUGGGUGUGGAGGAAAGAAACAAAGGCUACCGCCCCUGCGGUUAUAUUCGCUACCAUGUGAACUUCACGGCCACAUGUGAUUUGAGGCUUCAGAGGACGCUUUUCUACGCUGAAUUCUCGUUCUCCUCACGUGAGCAGGAGCCAGAAUUCCGCUGCCCUCUACCCUAUGCGAAUGCGGGCCGUUGCUAUUAUGGUGUGAUUAGUGCGAGGAAAAUCGUGUAUCCAGAUGACGCCAAGUACAUCCCGGAUGAUAUCACCGUCCGUGGAACCCGCAGCGCGGAUGGCAUGCUAGGGAUGGACCUGGUCUACUUCAGUCCCAAGUUGGACGUGGAGAUUGCUGAGAAUUUGAACGUGUUGCACAGUGAAGAAGAAGAAGAAAAGAGGAAGAAGAUGAGGAAGACGGGGAGGGGGAUGUGUCGUCUUAAUUAA